UACGUAGGGGGCAAGCGUUGUCCGGAUUUAUUGGGCGUAAAGAGCGUGUAGGCGGUUCGGUAGGUCCGUUGUGAAAACUCGAGCUCAACCUCGAGACGCCGAUGGAAACCCCCGAACUAGAGUCCGGAAGAGGAGAGUGGAAUUCCUGGUGUAGCGGUGAAAUGCGCAGAUAUCGGGGAGGAACACCGGUGGCGAAGGCGGUUCUCUGGGCCUUACCUGACGCUGAGGAGCGAAAGCGUGGGGAGCGAACAGG
rnacentral:rRNA from 1 species